rnacentral:rRNA from 1 species
UUUCUGCUCAAUGGUAAACUAAAUGGCCGCAGUACUUUGACUGUGCAAAGGUAGCAUAAUAAAUUGGCUUAUAAUUGAAGUCUGGCAUGAAUGAAAAUAUGAAUAUUACCUGUCUCAUAAUAAUUUUAUGAAAUUACUUAAUAAGUGAAAAUACUUAUACUUAAAUAAUAGACGAGAAGACCCUAGAAAUUUUAACUAAACACUUAUAUUUACUUUUUGCUGGGGCGGCAGAAUAGCAGUUAACCUAUUUUACUAUAUUUAACCAAUUUUUUAAUUAAAUAUAAAUUACUCUAGGGAUAACAGCAUAAUUUACUAUAGUUUGUGACCUCGAUGUUGGACUAAGGUAUUUACUACCUAGAAAGUAGUAUAGCUAAGCUCUGUUCGAGCUGUAAUCCUU